rnacentral:rRNA from 1 species
UCACCUCUUUCCAUCCCGAACAGAGAAGUUAAGCCCAUUUGCGCCGAUGGUACUGCCAAUGGUGGGAGAGUAGGUCGUUGCCUUUC